CAACAAUCCAGUAACAACCCAGAGGUCACCACCCUUCCCAACAAUCCAGUAACAAUCCAGAGGUCACCACCCCUUCCCAACAAUCCAGUAACAAUCCAGAGGUCACCACCCUUCCCAACAAUCCAGUAACAAUCCAGAGGUCACCACCCUUCCCAACAAUCCAGUAACAAUCCAGAGGUCACCACCCUUCCCAACAAUCCACUAACAAUCCAGAGGCCACCACCCUUCCCAACAAUCCACUAACAAUCCAGAGGUCACCACCCCUUCCCAACAAUCCAGUAACAAUCCAGAGGUCACCACCCUUCCCAACAAUCCAGUAACAACCCAGAGGUCACCACCCCUUCCCAACAAUCCAGUAACAAUCCAGAGGCCACCACCCCUUCCCAACAAUCCAC
rnacentral:lncRNA from 1 species